rnacentral:snRNA from 1 species
GCACUUUUAGCACAUAUACUAAAACUGGAACGAUGCAGAGAUUAGCAUGGCCCCUGCGCAAGGAUGACACACAAAUUCGUGAAGCAUUCCAUAUUAUA